GAUUUUGCUCUGUUGGGGUGGGUGGUAAGUCACUAUCUUAUCUAUCUGCCGUAUUUCUGCAGAAAGAUUAUUUUUAAAUGCACUUUUUUUGCCUUUAUGCUGUGUGAGAAUCUUUCAAUCUUUCUUUGUUUUCCACCUUUCCUCAUUUGAGAGACAUGUUGUUACUUGGUUUGUAAACCACCUUGGUAUGGUCAUGGAGUUAUGGGGCAGAAUGAAUCAAUAAAGAUGUUUAAUCUGAUUAAGGCUUGUGGACAUAGUCUAUUUUGGGUCCAUGAGGUCUGCCUCUUCCAUCAAAAUGACAUCCUUGUCCAACAGAGUUGUUUUCCUGGCCUUUAUCUUUAUAGUUACAGGCUUACAGCUCUCUCAUCUCCCAAGACCUUUUCAUUGCCUUUGUUGCCCCACGGGUUGUAUUUUGGAAAGACAUGUUUGUUAGCUAAUAAAACUUAUUCUUGAACCAUCACCUAGAAGUUCUAGUGGUUCACUAAUUAUGAAAGCCUUUAACAAACAGGAGAGUUCAAAUUCUAGUUGUUCCAUUCUUAUUCAAGACUAAAUGCUUUUGUGUGAGAGUACCUAGGCUUUUAAGCUGAGAGGUGAAGUAAUAAGGGUGUGACAAUAAAGCCUAUUCUUAGGUCCUCACGUAUAUGUUUGAACUUUUAGACCAAGAGAUUCAUUAAUAAAGUUUACCCCUUCUGAGUAACUUGCACAGACGGUGUGUCUAGGAAUAAAGCAUAUUCCUUGGUUUUCAACUGCAGGCUUGGGUUUUUAGGUUGAGAGGUCAUUCUUAGCUUUGUGUCUGUUCUGAUAAUGUGAAAUAAUGGGAGAUAAUUUGACAAUUAACAAAUAGUCAUUAUUUUCUUGUUCCAUUAUCCUAACUGUGUAAACAAAAACUGUCUCAAGGGCAUGUCAAUAAAUGGUACUAAUUGUUCACAAAAUUAUUGGGGAUCACAAAAUUAUUGGGGAAUAAUAACAUCUGGUAUCUUUUUGGCAACUGUAUAUCAAAUUGAUUCUAAUAUCUUUCAUUCUUUCCUUUUUUUUCUUAUAUAUUCUUAAAUUCUUGUUUGUUUUGGCAGCAUUCCUUUUUCAAGCAAUUUUA
rnacentral:misc_RNA from 1 species